rnacentral:rRNA from 1 species
GAGUUUGAUCAUGGCUCAGGAUGAACGCUAGCGGCAGGCUUAACACAUGCAAGUCGAGGGGUAUUCUAGCAAUAGGAGAGACCGGCGCACGGGUGCGUAACGCGUAUGCAAUCUACCUUUCACAGAGGGAUAGCCCAGAGAAAUUUGGAUUAAUACCUCAUAGUAUUAUGGAAUGGCAUCAUUUUAUAAUUAAAGUCACAACGGUGAAAGAUGAGCAUGCGUCCCAUUAGCUAGUUGGUAAGGUAACGGCUUACCAAGGCGACGAUGGGUAGGGGUCCUGAGAGGGAGAUCCCCCACACUGGUACUGAGACACGGACCAGACUCCUACGGGAGGCAGCAGUGAGGAAUAUUGGACAAUGGGCGCAAGCCUGAUCCAGCCAUGCCGCGUGCAGGAUGACGGUCCUAUGGAUUGUAAACUGCUUUUGCACAGGAAGAAACACCCCCUCGUGAGGGGGCUUGACGGUACUGUGAGAAUAAGGAUCGGCUAACUCCGUGCCAGCAGCCGCGGUAAUACGGAGGAUCCAAGCGUUAUCCGGAAUCAUUGGGUUUAAAGGGUCCGUAGGCGGUUUAGUAAGUCAGUGGUGAAAGCCCAUCGCUCAACGGUGGAACGGCCAUUGAUACUGCUAGACUUGAAUUAUUAGGAAGUAACUAGAAUAUGUAGUGUAGCGGUGAAUGCUUAGAGAUACAUGGAAUACCAUUG